rnacentral:rRNA from 1 species
AUUGAACGCUGGCGGCAAGCCUAACACAUGCAAGUCGGACGAGUGGCGGACGGGAGAGUAAUGGCUGGGAAACUGCCUGAUGGAGGGGGAUAACUACUGGAAACGGUAGCUAAUACCGAAUACCAUCGGAUGUGACCAGAUGGGAUUAGCUAGUAGGUGCGUGAAAGGCUAACAUAGGCGACGAUCCCUAGCUGGUCUGAGAGGAUGACCAGCCAAAGUAGAAGUGAGACACGGUCCAGACUCUUACGGGAGGAAGCAGAGGGAAAUAUUGCACAAUGCGGGAAAGCGUGAUGAAGCCAUGCCGCGUGUUUGAAGAAGGUCUACGGGUUUUAAAGUACUUUCAUCGGAGAGGCGUUACCCGCAUAAGAAGCACCGGGUAACUCCGUGCCAGCAGCCGCGGUAAUAC